GGAGAUGAGAGUGUUAGCAGUAUUUGGACUGUAGUUUUUAUUUCCCAUAAAAAAAAAAAAGAUCUCAACUUCUUUCUGAGAUGUUAUUAUUUUGAAAAAGUUGCACACUAAGGGCCACACUACCUGGAGAAUGAAUAAGGAGUCCUUGGCUUAAUAGUCUUCAUAAACAGUGAAUGAAAGGCUUAUGGAAG
rnacentral:lncRNA from 1 species